GAUCUACCCAUGGCCAGUGUGAAGCAGAGGUAAGACUCUGUGGAGGCGCGAACCCACUUAGGUUGAAAACUGAGGGGAUGAGUUGUGGGUAGGGGUGAAAGGCCAAUCAAACUCCGUGAUAGCUGGUUCUCCCCGAAAUGCAUUUAGGUGCAGCGUUGCGUGGUUCUUGUUGGAGGUAGAGCACUGGAUGGUCUAGGGGGCUUAUCGGCUUACCGAAAUCAGCCAAACUCCG
rnacentral:rRNA from 1 species